AGGUUUCUUGGUCUCCCCCUGCCCCCUUUCUAGCUGUUUUGAUAGGGAAAGUAGAUUUGAAUUUCAAAUAAACACGGGAAUAGUUUUUCCCAUUGGUGCUUCAACCAGAGGCAUUGUGUUUGAUGUUGGGUGUUCUCUGUUACCUGAACGGUUCUGCAGAUGUAAAACAUUGCUUUAUGUGUGAUUUACCCAGUCAGAAGGAUGUGUGUUUUACCACGUAGCGCUUCCAUAGCAGCGUAUUGAGGCUGGCUGGCUGACCGUUUUUGCAGUCCAUGUUCAGCUUGAACCUAAAAUCCUUCUCUUAUGGAUUCUUGCAUUAUUCAACAGGAAGCAAGAGGAGCGAGUGCAACAGGUACGGAAAAAACUGGAGGAGGCACUGAUGGCAGACAUCUUGUCCCGGGCUACGGAUGCAGCACAAGUAGAUGAGGUUGAAAUGGACAAUGGAGAAGAGGCAUAAGAAUUAAAUAAUCAGGUACUUUAAAAAAAAAGAAAAAGAGACUCCCAGAUAAAAAUUUCUGGAAAUUGGAAGCGCUUUUAUGUUUUCCGUUGGUCUUUUGUGAUAGAAGAAGACCUCUGCACAUUUAUAUAGCUUUCUAAUAGCAUUAAAAACCAAUGCCCUUUUUUGGCUCUUAUUAUUAUUAUUAAUUAUUAUUUUAUUAUCCUAUUUUUGAUGUACAUAUCUUGUUAAGAAAAGAAAGAAAAAAAAAGGGAAAAAAAAGAAAGAAAGAAAAGACCCUACUCUUUAUUUUGUGUCUUACGACUUCAAAAGUCUCCUUUUAUUUGUUUGGCGAUGUUGAAUGGCUCCUGAAGACUGAAGCUGAGCUUUUUCGAUGCCAAGUUGGCGAUUCUGUUAAGGACCUGGCAAGCACUAAAUAAUGAGCAUUUCUUCCUUUUUAUGUGUGCGGGUUUUUAUUUUUUGCAAGAAUAGAUCAGGAAAACAGAUUGUUUCCCAGUUUAAAAAAAAAACAAAGAAAAGAAAUUGUGUCAUGAUUUCUUGUACAUAUAUUAUAUAAAAGAUUUUUUUAUACUGGAACUGAAUGGGAAAAAAAAUCUGUAAAUUGACCCAUCAUCAUUCUCUAAAGAUAAAUAAAUACUUUUAUUCAGAGCAAUUACACUUUUUAGAGUAAUGUACUAUAAUUUAAGGCAAGGCUCUUAUCUCUAUUACUGAGCAUUAGGCAGAGAUAAUAUUGUUCAGUGAAAAUAGCGAAAUACCGGAUGUCAAGCUGCUAAAGCCUUUGUUAAAUUUAUUGGGAAAUUUAUUUGCACUCUAACCCAAUUACGGAAGCACUUCAAUGAGUGUGCAAUUUUCCAACAUCGGAUUUGGAGCCUCCAUCCUCCUUUUUGUAAAAUGGGGAAAUCAUGACCUACCUCACAGGGUUGUUGUGAGGAUGAGCUUAAUAAAAAAAAAAGGAAAGUA